CCCAGCACCCACUAAACAUUAGACCUUUGGUGGACGUGCAGAUCAUGUCUUUAUUGCGUCCGUCAUUCCAAGACCAAGUCUGGACAACUGCACAAUGUGCAAAUUAGGUCCGCUAUAUGUCUAAUUAGAUAAUCUCUGUUGGACAUUAUACAGAGGUCUCUGGACGUCUCUUUGUUGAUGACUAGUGUUUUUGUGUGUGUGUGUGUGUGUGUGUGUGUGUGUGUGUGUGUGUGUGUGUGUGUGUGUGUGUGUGUGUGUGUGUUUGUGUGUUUGUGUUUAUCUCUCUCAGUCCUGCUGUAAACCGCUGGGGUACCUGAGCUACAUCUCUGGAAGUGAGCAUUCGUACAGAGACGCUACGGAGUACUAUGCAGAGGCUUGGAGGUACAGUUACAAGGUCAACCCAAGCCUAGGUGAGUACGGACUCCACCCAAGCAGAGGUGAGUGACAGUCCACCCCAGCACCCACUAAACAUUAGACGUUUGGUGGACGUGCAGAUCAUGUCUUUAUUGCGUCCGUCAUUCCAAGACCAAUUCUGGACGACUGCACAAUGUGCAAACUAGGUCCGCUAUAUGUCUAACUAGGUAACCUCUGUUGGACAUUAUACAGAGGUCUCUGGACGUCUCUUUGUUGAUGACUAGUGUUUUUGUGUGUGUGUGUUUGUGUGUUUGUGUUUAUGUCUCUCAGUCCUGCUGUAAACCGCUGGGGUACCUGAGCUACAAUCUCUGGAAGUGAGCAUUCGUACAGAGACGCUACGGAGUACUACGCAGAGGCUUGGAGUCCUGCUGUAAACCGCUGGAGUACCUGAGCUACAUCUCUGAAAGUGAGCAUUCGUAGAGACACGCUACUGAGUACUACGCAGAGGCCUGGAAAUACAGCUUCAAGGUCAACCCCAGCAUUGGUACGGAUAGAAACCAUCCGACCAUAGUCCUGCUGUACAAUGCUGGAGUAGCCUGAGCUACAGUUCUGAAGCGCUGGAGUACUUGUGCUCUGAAAGUGUCUCUGAAAGUUGUCAGCUGUUGGCUCAACAGCAAAGCAUGGUGUGACAUGAUGUGUCUUGUGUUCCUGUGACCAGAAGGCUCAACAAUGCAUCAUUCUAACUGACCAGAUGGAUUGUUUCAUCUUUUCUGCUCAUCGGAGGGGUUUUCAGAUUGUCUGUCUGGCCAGAGGAGGACCACUACACUGGCAAUGACUGGGGUUUGCCUUAGGGCCCACCAACCAUAGCGGUCUCCGCCCAAACCAACCAGCUGUCAACCGCUGCGCUGCCGCUGGCUUGUGGAUCUAAAGUUUUGUCAUGAUAGCUUGUUUUUGUUUUGUACACAACCCUAUAGAUGAUCGCUUAUUCCAAGGAAGACACACACAAAUAAAUACAAACUACUUUAAGGGACACAAAGGUAUGGAAGGACUCCAGCCACUGAUAUUGGACAUAUGGUGUAAUUUUCUUCUGUAUCUAUCUAAUGCAAAACUAUACUUGCAACAAUUUCUUAUGUCAUGUGAAAUAAUAAGAUGAAAACCUCACUCAUAUGCAUUAGCUCUUGCAUAAAAUCUUUGCAAUAAUGGACCAUGUUUACGACAGACUCAUUCCGACCCUAGGCCAACCUGGGGCCAAUACACUGAUGAUUGCCUGGGGCCAUAUCAGGAGCGCGCCUGUCCCUGCUUACCUUUUUUAUACUUUUGCUCAUUCAGGGAUGCAAACAGCUCGCUUUUCGGCGCCUCCCGCUUUUUUCACGUAAUUUCGGGUGACUUGUGUGAAUCGUGCAG